GACGAACGCUGGCGGCGUGCUUAACACAUGCAAGUCGAGCGGUAAGGCCUCUUCGGAGGUACACGAGCGGCGAACGGGUGAGUAACACGUGAGCAACCUACCCAUCACAUCGGGAUAACCCCCGGAAACGGGAGCUAAUACCGAAUACGACCACUUCAGACAUCUGACGGUGGUGGAAAGCUCCGGCGGUGGUGGAUGGGCUCGCGGCCUAUCAGCUUGUUGGUGAGGUAGUGGCUUACCAAGGCUUUGACGGGUAGCCGGCCUGAGAGGGCGACCGGCCACACUGGGACUGAGAUACGGCCCAGACUCCCACGGGAGGCAGCAGUGGGGAAUAUUGCACAAUGGGCGGAAGCCUGAUGCAGCGACGCCGUGUGCGGGAUGACGGCCUUCGGGUUGUAAACCGCUUUCAACUGUGACGAAUUUGACGGUAGCAGUAGAAGAAGCACCGGCUAACUACGUGCCAGCCGCCGCGGUAAUAC
rnacentral:rRNA from 1 species